rnacentral:rRNA from 1 species
CCAGACUCCUACGGGAGGCAGCAGUGAGGAAUAUUGGUCAAUGGGCGGGAGCCUGAACCAGCCAAGUCGCGUGAGGGAAGACUGCCCUAUGGGUUGUAAACCUCUUUUGUCAGGGAGCAACGCCGGCUACGUGUAGCCGGACUGAGAGUACCUGAAGAAAAAGCAUCGGCUAACUCCGUGCCAGCAGCCGCGGUAAUACGGAGGAUGCGAGCGUUAUCCGGAUUUAUUGGGUUUAAAGGGUGCGCAGGCGGAGGUGCAAGUCAGCGGUCAAAUUGCGGGGCUCAACCCCGUACUGCCGUUGAAACUGGCGUUCUUGAGUGGGCGAGAAGUAUGCGGAAUGCGUGGUGUAGCGGUGAAAUGCAUAGAUAUCACGCAGAACUCCGAUUGCGAAGGCAGCGUACCGGCGCCCAACUGACGCUGAAGCACGAAGGCGUGGGUAUCGAACAGGAUUAGAUACCCCUGUA